UGGGGAAUAUUGCACAAUGGGCGCAAGCCUGAUGCAGCAACGCCGCGUGAGGGAUGACGGCCUUCGGGUUGUAAACCUCUUUUAGCAGGGAAGAAGCGAAAGUGACGGUACCUGAGGAAUAAGCACCGGCUAACUUCGUGCCAGCAGCCGCGGUAAUACGAAGGGUGCAAGCGUUAAUCGGAAUUACUGGGCGUAAAGCGUGCGUAGGCGGUUUCUUAAGUCUGCUGUGAAAUCCCCGGGCUCAACCUGGGAAUGGCAGUGGAUACUGGGAGGCUAGAGUGUGUCAGAGGGUGGUGGAAUUCCCAGUGUAGCGGUGAAAUGCGUAGAGAUGUGGAGGAAUACCGAUGGCGAAGGCAGCCCCCUGGGCCAAUACUGACGCUCAUGCACGAAAGCGUGGGGAGCAAACAGGAUUAGAUACCCUGGUAGUCCACGCCCUAAACGAUGUCAACUAGUUGUUGGGGAUUCAUUUCCUUAGUAACGUAGCUAACGCGUGAAGUUGACCGCCUGGGGAGUACGGUCGCAAGAUUAAAACUCAAAUGAAUUGACGGGGUCAUAGCUGUUUCCU
rnacentral:rRNA from 1 species